rnacentral:rRNA from 1 species
UACGGAGGGAGCUAGCGUUGUUCGGAAUUACUGGGCGUAAAGCGCACGUAGGCGGCUUCUUAAGUCAGGGGUGAAAUCCUGGAGCUCAACUCCAGAACUGCCCUUGAUACUGAGGAGCUCGAGUCCGGAAGAGGUGAGUGGAACUGCGAGUGUAGAGGUGAAAUUCGUAGAUAUUCGCAAGAACACCAGUGGCGAAGGCGGCUCACUGGUCCGGUACUGACGCUGAGGUGCGAAAGCGUGGGGAGCAAACAGG